rnacentral:rRNA from 1 species
AGUGAACGCUGGCGGUAGGCCUAACACAUGCAAGUCGAACGGCCGCACAGUAAGAUCUUGCUCUUACGGGUGGCGAGUGGCGUACGGGUGAGGAAUACAUCGGAAUCUACUUUUUCGUGGGGGAUAACGUAGGGAAACUUACGCUAAUACAGCAUACGACCUACGGGUGAAAGCAGGGGAUCUUCGGACCUAGCUCGAUUGAAUGAGCCGAUGUCGGAUUAGCUAGUUGGCGGGGUAAAGGCCCACCAAGGCGACGAUCCGUAGCUGGUCUGAGAGGAUGAUCAGCCACCCUGGAACUGAGACACGGUCCAGACUCCUACGGGAGGCAGAAGAGGGGAAUAUUGGACAAUGGGCGAAAGCCUGAUCAAGCCAUACCGCGUGGGUGAAGAAGGCCUUCGGGUUGUAAAGCCCUUUUGUUGGGAAAGAAAAGCGGCAGGGUAAUACCCCGCUGUUCUGACGGUACCCAAAGAGUAAGCACCGGCUAACUUCGUG